UAAACCCAAAGGCGAAAUGAAAGUAAAGAGUGGAACAUUGUAAUUUAGAUUUUAUCUUUAUUCACAAUUUCCCUCAAGGGAAGAUGGAAAACUAAUCUUUGAUUCCCCGCAUAGCAAUAUGUGUAAUCAUUGAUAUAGUUUUCUCGCAUUCCCGGGGCGCUUGUUUCUCGCUUUGCGAGUCUAUGCGCACCUAGAGCGUACACGCUGAUACCCGAAAGAUGGUGAACUAUGCCUGGCCAGGACGAAGCCAGGGGAAACCCUGGUGGAGGUCCGCAGCGAUUCUGACGUGCAAAUCGAUCGUCGGAGCUGGGUAUAGGGGCGAAAGACCAAUCGAACCAUCUAGUAGCUGGUUCCCUCUGAAGUUUCCCUCAGGAUAGCUUGCGCUCAAUGCUAAGAGUCUCAUCCGGUAGAGCGAAUGAUUAGAGGCAUUGGGGUCGAAACGACCUCAACCUAUUCUCAAACUCCAAAUAGAUGAGACCCCCGGCUUUCUUGAAAAAUGAAGCCGUGGGAUUAGGAUCAGAGUGCCAAGUGGGCCAAUUU
rnacentral:rRNA from 1 species